rnacentral:rRNA from 1 species
GCGAACGCUGGCGGCAGGCCUAACACAUGCAAGUCGAACGAACUCUUCGGAGUUAGUGGCGGACGGGUGAGUAACACGUGGGAACGUGCCUUUUGGUUCGGAAUAACUCAGGGAAACUUGUGCUAAUACCGAAUGUGCCCUUCGGGGGAAAGAUUUAUCGCCAUUAGAGCGGCCCGCGUCUGAUUAGCUAGUUGGUGAGGUAACGGCUCACCAAGGCGACGAUCAGUAGCUGGUCUGAGAGGAUGACCAGCCACACUGGGACUGAGACACGGCCCAGACUCCUACGGGAGGCAGUAGUGGGGAAUCUUGCGCAAUGGGCGAAAGCCUGACGCAGCCAUGCCGCGUGAAUGAUGAAGGUCUUAGGAUUGUAAAAUUCUUUCACCGGGGACGAUAAUGACGGUACCCGGAGAAGAAGCCCCGGCUAACUUCGUG